CCAAUCGGUCCGCCCGUCCGUCCUCCUCCAUCGAUUCCCCGAUCCAGCCCCACAAGAAAAACCAGUGAAGAAAAAUGCCACCGCCAACCGCCUCAGGAGAAACACCCCCAAUCUCGCGACUCAAUCCCGCAUCCACGGAUCCACCCGAUCUCGCGACGCGUACCUCCGCCCCCAUCUCGCCCCACACGACGAAGCCGCCGCCUCCCAUCCAGUCGCCGGCGCGCCUCCGCCCAUCCCCUCCUCUGCCGCCGGGAUCUGCUGUGGUCCCGCAGGAUGACGCCGCCGCCCCUUCCAAAUCCGGCGCAGGCGGUGGUUGCCCGCGUCGCCGAACCUCCCAUCUCAAGAAAUGACUCCCUCAAGAACCCCUCGAUGGGAUCUGGCAGCAGGCUUCCCUCGGCCCCGCCAGGAGGAGCUCAAGCAGGUGCGCCUCGUCGGCGGAGCAGCCGGCGAGACUCACAUGGCGGCGGCGGGAGAGCUGGCGAUGCUCGACGUGGAAACGCUGGCGCUGAUGGCGGGCGGACCCGAGGCGACGCAGGUGGCCGUGUGCGGCAAGUUGGAGACGUUCAAGGAGAUCGUGCGGCCGCUGAAGCAGACAGACACCGCACAGCGAGCCGCGCUCCUCGCCGAACGAAGGUGACUGAAAUAGAUGUUGGUUGAGGAAGGGUCAGCGAGUGAUAAUAUGGCAUCUAGGGGAACACAUCGAAGUAACCUGGACUGAGGCACCAUACACUGAAGAACUGUUUGGUAUCUGGACUCUGGCCAAAUGAGUGAACAAAUCAUUAUGAUGGAUAAGAGGUCAACUUCUGUUUUUAGGCACCAUACACCAUAGUCUGGAAAAUUUCAGAGAUCGAUCCUCAGGGUGGAGCUUGAUUAAAGUUGCUUCUCCGAAAGAAAAUUCAGACAUUGAUGAUUGGUAUUGAUCAGAUUUUUACAGAAGUCAAUCAUGUCCUGUUUGCAAGCGCUUCUGUUGCACAAGUUCAGGCCACCACAACACAUGAUGGGGAAAGUUGCUAUUGAGGUUGUAAUCUAACAAAUGAUGCAGUUUGUCUUGAGUUCACUUAUGGUUUAGGUUGAAUUCUCACAUGAGAUUCAUUCCACAAUAUUUUUUGAGUUACCGCUGUUCUUCAGAUACUGCGACACUGGGUGACAUAAUUAUUUUAUGUUCAUGGCAUAAGCUCUUUUUUUAAUGUUGAUGUCUGAACUUUGUAUGAAUAGACUUUAAAUUAGUUGAAAAAAAUACAUUAUUAGUGUUAUCUAACAGUUGCAGAUUAAGCCUAUAACAAUUGCCUAUUUAAUCACACAGAGAACGAGAACUUGACAGGAGCAAAAAGAUAUGAGAGGGUAAACACUCAUGUUGGAACUGGUAAGUUUACACGAGUGUUGGCCGUGUACAACUUUAGUCAGUAGCUGUACCUAGACUCAAGGCUUGUAGUGUUAUUUCUUCCCUGUAAGUUUCUCGUACCUUUCCAUGGAUUUCUAUGUUUAGAUAUUAUGAUUUGAUUUUCUAUUUCUUGAUAGGAGAAAGCCAGACAUCAGUAUCUGAAGAAAUUGUUUCGAGACCUCUUUAUUUGAGAGGGUCGAUUUACUCUUUUGGGCACAAAACCUGUAGCAUUCUGAAGAUACAAUUUAGAUGAAUUUAUGUUUAUACAUCUAGGUAAUAUCAAA